rnacentral:lncRNA from 1 species
AUGUUCCUGAUGAUCUCUGUGGGGAUUUCAAUGCAAUAUUUUUUUUCAUUGCCACAGCUUGCCAUCCUCACAGAGAUUUCUAAUUCCCGUGGCAACGAGAAACCCAGCCUGCUGAACCCAGCCAAUCAUGGAAGUGGCAGUAUCUUCCACAGUGAAAACUUCCAGCUCAAACUCUCUCCCCCUCCGGUUGUAGAGGAGUAGUGUGGCACCAGCCACAGUACUUACUUGAGCCUCUACAAAUUGUUCUUUACUAAUAAAAACACUAUCUUGUCUAUCAACUUU